CCUCCCUCCCUUUCUGGUUGCCUUUUUUUUCCACUUCUCUCCCUCCCCCUUCCGUUUCUAUUUGUGAAGGAGGAGGAAGGCAGAGGCGGACUGGUGUCUCUGGCCGGGGACUGGAAUUUCAUCUGAAUGACUGCCCCAGCGCGCACGCAGCGCCCCGGAGUCGGCCCGCCUGCGCCCCGCAGCCCGCGCCCGCACACUGCCGGCCCGCCGGGGGACGCCCGCACCGCGGUCCGGGAACAGCCGGCUUGCCUCGCUCGCCGGGUCCGGUUCUAGCAACCCUUGGCACCGCCGCACUCGCUUCCCCGGCCCCUCGGACCUCGGCCCCCGGCCAGGCGAGGGAGGCGCGGCGCCGACGAGCCGGGCGGGAGCCACUAUCGCCGCAGCCGUCGCUAGAGGAAGUGUGCUGCUCCCGGGCUCCGUCCGCCUUUGGGGCGCGCCCAGAUGUCAGUUGCGGGGCGCGCAGGCCUCGGGCCGCCGCUGCCUUAGCCGCGCCGACGGGGAGGCGGCCUCUUAUAUGGAAUUUGGACCCCGACGUUCCCCUCCAGGGCUGGUGCCCGAGCCACGGCCCUGGCGCAGUCCGCCGCCUCCAGCUAGGCGCUCGGGAGGAGGAGACGCAGCCGGCGGCGCGCGCGGCGUGGGGACCAAGGCUCCCUCCUCUGGGGGGCGGGCACGCGGAAGGCGCUGGUGACUGAGCGACUGUUGGGGCCGACCGGGGCCAGAGCUCGGGGCUCGGUAGGCCCACAGCUGCACGGGACGGACCCCCAGGGCUGGUUAGUUGGAGAGACCUGCCCGGACCCCCUGCUCGGAGCCGCCAUGGCGGAGAAUUGGAAGAACUGCUUCGAGGAGGAGCUCAUCUGCCCCAUCUGCCUGCACGUCUUCGUGGAGCCGGUACAGCUCCCGUGCAAACACAACUUCUGUCGGGGCUGCAUUGGCGAGGCAUGGGCCAAGGACAGUGGCCUGGUACGCUGCCCAGAGUGCAACCAGGCCUACAACCAGAAGCCAGGCCUGGAGAAGAACCUGAAGCUCACCAACAUCGUGGAGAAGUUCAACGCCCUGCACGUGGAAAAGCCGCCGGCGGCGCUGCACUGCGUGUUCUGCCGCCGUGGCCCCCCGCUGCCCGCGCAGAAGGUCUGCCUGCGCUGCGAGGCGCCCUGCUGCCAGUCCCACGUGCAGACGCACCUGCAGCAGCCCUCCACCGCCCGCGGGCACCUCCUGGUGGAGGCGGACGACGUGCGGGCCUGGAGCUGCCCGCAGCACAACGCCUACCGCCUCUACCACUGCGAGGCCGAGCAGGUGGCUGUGUGCCAGUACUGCUGCUACUACAGCGGCGCGCAUCAGGGACACUCGGUGUGCGACGUGGAGAUCCGGAGGAAUGAGAUCCGGGCAA